GCGCUGCUGCGUACACGCGGUUAUGUAUAUAUAAUAGAUAGUCGUCUAUGUAUGUAUAUGCAUGGAGCUUUAUGGAUAUCUGGCAUCUCCUCUCCUCUGUGAAAGGUAAUGAAUGCAUCUCAGCACUGCAGGAGCUCUGCUCUGCUGGGCCCAGCACUGGGAUCCUGCUUGGAGGCAAACCAACAACUCAUCCAAACCCCGAGGAAAAGUGAUCCCAGUGGGAGGAUGAUCCUACACCCAGCCACAGUGGGAUCACCCCAAAAAUGGGAUUACAGCCCAAAUACCACUCUGAAGGAGAAGCAACUGCAGGUCAUGGACAAGGCCUGGAAAAGAACCUCCUGUGACAAGAGAGGGAAUUGCUGAAGGACUGAGGAAAACCAGAGGCACAGCACCCAGAGGCUCCUGUUUCUUCCCCGGGGCAGGGAUGUGACCCUGUGGACAUCAGAGUCCCAACUAACAUUUGGCCAAAUUCUGGGGAGAGCUGCAAGUAUUCCUCAAAUCCCAGGAAAUCCCGAGUUUUCCUGCUGUGUUUGUCAAGUCUCAUGUCCAGAGCAGCAACGGCAGUUCUGAACAGUUUAAAUAAAGCAAAACUUUAAAUAAAGCAAAAUUGUGAACGUC